rnacentral:rRNA from 1 species
GAUCCUGGCUCAGGAUAAACGCUAGCGGCAGGCCUAACACAUGCAAGUCGAGGGGCAUCGGAUAGAGUACUUCGGUACUCUUGCCGGCGACCGGCGGACGGGUGCGUAACGCGUAUGCAACCUACCUUCAACAGGGGGAUAAUCCGGAAGAAAUUUGGUCUAAUACCCCAUAAUAUUCCGACAGGCAUCUGUCGGAGGUUGAAAGCUUCGGUGGUUGGAGAUGGGCAUGCGUUGUAUUAGCUAGAUGGUGG